rnacentral:lncRNA from 1 species
AUGUGGCCGUGGCUUCUGCUCGGAGGACGUUCGCCUUCUUCUGGUGACAUUUUAUUUUCACGUGUGCUGAGCCGGGCCCUGCGCGGGCCCUCUACCUGCGUGUGCUUUGACAGGCCUGAGCGCUCUCUGCCAGCGCCGCUCGCCCUUGACAGGAAGCGAAGGUGUCUUUUUGUUAAGCUUGAGACUACAUUUUGUCCCAGCCGCAGCUCAGCAGUCCUGCCCGGCCUGCUGCACAAAGCGCACGCAGCCUGCCAGGGCUGCUGGGGCUCGUUUGGCAGCGUUUUCGGUACGAGCAGCAGGGCCACGUCCUCCGCCAGAGGCAGACGGAACGUCUGCCCGGGUCUGAAGCCGCUGCAGAGGCUGUCCACUGCCACUGGGCAGACAGGACGGGGAUGGGAUGGGGACAGGGCCCACGCCAGCGGGACGGGUACCGCCGGUUACGCUGCCCCAGCAAUGCGGCGGGGGGGAAGGAGGAAGGACAGAGGCGCACACGCCUCCCCAGACGGGGACACAGGCCCUAAUGAAAGGGUCAGCAGCCGCCGCACAGCCCCAGCAGCACGUAACCCUGCCCGCCGCCUGCCCAGGAGCAUUUGGGCCCUGCUCCCAUCCCAAGCAUUCACCACACGGAGGCCAGGCCUGCGUCGGUCCCGGCUGGAUGCUGCGGCCUGGCCCUCACCAGUUCACGGGAUUUCGCCAGCCGCGGCUCAUUUCGCCCUUCUUGUGUCUCCGUGUGCCUGGCUGCAGAGCGAGCUGCCGGCCCACCCCGCACCCAGAGCCUACCCGCUCAGCACCUCAGUGCCGCCGCCACCACCCCCUCGCCACAGCUUAAGUCCAAGGCCGGUGAAAUUUUCUUCAAGCUUUUUAAGGCUCGAAAUCCCUAUUUUGCAAAGGAAAGCACCCCCCUUAUGCACACAGACCCAGAGCAACGCCUCCCCAGCCUCUCCUCGCCCUCUCCACAGCAUGCCCUGUAUUUGGACACAGGCACUGAGAAUCACUAAGGGCAAAGAGAGGGGACUGUCACAGGUGGGAACUGAAAAAGACAACAGUUUUAUUUCAUGGAACACCCAUUUUCUACUUGUCCAACUACUAAUGCGGUGGGAAGCUUGCUUUCUCUACGUCCCCAUUCUCUUGCUUCCCUUGGGUCACUGCACUGUAUUCACUAGAUUAUUUAUGAAGACAUGUUACUGUGAACACAUAAAAACAUUUCAACAAGGAUAA